rnacentral:rRNA from 1 species
UGAGCCAAGUUUAGGGUUUUCUCAAAACCCAAGCAGUAUUGAACUGAAGAGUUUGAUCAUGGCUCAGAUUGAACGCUGGCGGCAGGCCUAACACAUGCAAGUCGAGCGGAUGAAGGGA